UUUGUGGUAGAAUCCUUUCAACUCCGUAACUCUGAAAAUUAAGAUUUUACUUUUCCAAUGCCAAAGUGAAUGUACUGUGGUGAGAAUACACACUCGAUUUUAUAGGCUCUCUUCUAGGUCAUCAGGAUAUGUAAGUGAACAAAGCAGACACAACUACCCGUCCAUGUGCCUCACGCAGUAUGUCUUUUCCCUGGGGAAAAGACAGAGCUAAUGAAAAAAAUAAAGGGUGUUUGGCGUUAAGAAA